rnacentral:rRNA from 1 species
UACGUAGGGUCCGAGCGUUGUCCGGAAUUACUGGGCGUAAAGAGCUCGUAGGUGGUUUGUCGCGUUGUUCGUGAAAACUCACAGCUCAACUGUGGGCGUGCGGGCGAUACGGGCAGACUAGAGUACUGCAGGGGAGACUGGAAUUCCUGGUGUAGCGGUGGAAUGCGCAGAUAUCAGGAGGAACACCGGUGGCGAAGGCGGGUCUCUGGGCAGUAACUGACGCUGGAGGAGCGGAAAGCGUCGGGGAGCGAACAGG